rnacentral:rRNA from 1 species
GGAAAGACCCCGUGAACCUUUACUAUAGCUUGACACUGAACAUUGAGCCUUGAUGUGUAGGAUAGGUGGGAGGCUUUGAAGUGUGGACGCCAGUCUGCAUGGAGCCGACCUUGAAAUACCACCCUUUAAUGUUUGAUGUUCUAACGUGGACCCGUAAUCCGGGUUGCGGACAGUGUCUGGUGGGUAGUUUGACUGGGGCGGUCUCCUCCUAAAGAGUAACGGAGGAGCACGAAGGUUGGCUAAUCCUGGUCGGACAUCAGGAGGUUAGUGCAAUGGCAUAAGCCAGCUUGACUGCGAGCGUGACGGCGCGAGCAGGUGCGAAAGCAGGUCAUAGUGAUCCGGUGGUUCUGAAUGGAAGGGCCAUCGCUCAACGGAUAAAAGGUACUCCGGGGAUAACAGGCUGAUACCGCCCAAGAGUUCAUAUCGACGGCGGUGUUUGGCACCUCGAUGUCGGCUCAUCACAUCCUGGGGCUGAAGUAGGUCCCAAGGGUAUGGCUGUUCGCCAUUUAAAGUGGUACGCGAGCUGGGUUUAGAACGUCGUGAGACAGUUCGGUCCCUAUCUGCCGUGGGCGCUGGAGAACUGAGGGGGGCUGCUCCUAGUACGAGAGGACCGGAGUGGACGCAUCACUGGUGUUCGGGUUGUCAUGCCAAUGGCACUGCCCGGUAGCUAAAUGCGGAAGAGAUAAGUGCUGAAAGCAUCUAAGCACGAAACUUGCCCCGAGAUGAGUUCUCCCUGAGACUUAGAGUCUCCUGAAGGAACGUUGAAGACGACGACGUUGAUAGGCCGGGUGUGUAAGCGCAGCGAUGCGUUGAGCUAACCGGUACUAAUGAACCGUGAGGCUUAACCUU